rnacentral:rRNA from 1 species
UACGUAGGGUGCGAGCGUUGUCCGGAAUUAUUGGGCGUAAAGAGCUCGUAGGCGGUUUGUUGCGUCUAUCGUGAAAACCUGCAGCUUAACUGUGGGCUUGCGGUGGAUACUGGCAGACUUGAGGAGGGUAGAGGAGAGUGGAAUUCCCGGUGUAGUGGUGAUAUGCGUAGAUAUCAGGAGGAACACCGGUGGCGAAGGCGGGUCUCUGGGCCGUAACUGACGCUGAGGAGCGAAAGCGUGGGGAGCGAACAGG